UUUAUAUACUCUAAUUCUAUCUGAAAAAUCUGGAAUAGUAGGGAGUAAAUUACAAAGCCAUGUCGUUCUCUCCUGAUGCUAGGGAGAGACUGCUAAUAAUAGAGACUAUUCCUCGUUCUCUCCUGAACAAGUAUCAGCUUCAAGGAAAUAACGAAGAAGUUGGGCACUUUUGUUUGUCCUUGGACGCUAAGAUGGAAUUGAUCAAUGAAUUUUGCCAAAUUGGUAAUGAAAUUUCAUUCUUCACUCAUCGAAUCAAUUCUCAAUUCAUUCACUGGAAGGGAAGGGGAAGACUGACAGAAACUAAUUAAAACCCCAUAAUUUCAACCUGUGUUAUGCAGUGGCCAGCACAAGUGGAGGAGGCGGCGGCAGGAAUGCUCCAACAGAGCAUUAGAUAUGGCGAUCGAUAAUGGGAAGAGAAGAGAGACGUUUGAGUUUUGUCCAUCAAUUUUAUAGUUGACCCAUUUUUGAGAUUUUACCCGUAAAAGACCCGCGUAUUGACCCGAUUUAAGAGUUCAAGCGUGGAGUUGGAAUUGGAAUUCUUUGGUCCAGCCAAAG
rnacentral:lncRNA from 1 species